GUUCAGAUCUGAAGGAAACUCCAGUAAAUAUUUGUGCUCAGUAUAUGUACAUUUCUUGUUUUCACAGAGGAAAUUAUGCUGAUGAGUCUCCAUACAAAAAGGGCGAAUCAUGCAGCGGUUGUGGAACAGAGACGUGUGAAAAUAACCUCUGUCGCAACUCAACACGGGAUACCCAGAAGAGGUAUAACUGGAGGCCGGACUGGGACCCUGCGAUCUCCUCGUGCGAUUCACUCUGUGGGUCAUUCCAUGAAAUCGAUGCCUUUUGCAUCCCUGAGAAAUAAUCAGACAUAUAAAAACAAAUAAACUUGUUAUUUAAAGCAUAAAA